ACAAAAGAUAGCUUUACUUCUCUACCAAUCCUUAGGCCCUCACAAGUGAUUUACCUAAUUGGGCCAGCUAAACCUCUAGUGCAAUGUUGAACAGCAGCAGAAGUAAUGGGCAUCCUUGCUUUCUUGAUGGAAAUGCCUCUAUUGUUUCCCCAUGAAUUGCUAUGCAUCCCAACAAAUUUAUGCAAUAAAAUUUACCAGACUUUUUUUUUUUUUUUGAGACGGAGUUUCUUGCCCAGGCUGGAGUGCAAUGUCACGAUCUCAGCUCACUGCAACCUCCACCUCCUAGGUUCAAGCGAUUCUCCUGCCUCAGCC
rnacentral:lncRNA from 10 species